UUAUAUCCGGGGCUACACACACGCUACAAUGGGCGGUACAACGAGAAGCGAAAGGGCGACCUGAAGCGAAUCUCAUCAAAGCCGUUCGUAGUUCAGAUUGCAGGCUGCAACCCGCCUGCAUGAAGCCGGAGUUGCUAGUAAACGCAGGUCAGCUAUACUGUGUUGAAUACGUUCCCGGGCCUU
rnacentral:rRNA from 1 species